rnacentral:rRNA from 1 species
GCUGGCGGCGUGCCUAAUACAUGCAAGUCGAGCGAACAGACAAGGAGCUUGCUCCUUUGACGUUAGCGGCGGACGGGUGAGUAACACGUGGGUAACCUACCUAUAAGACUGGGAUAACUUCGGGAAACCGGAGCUAAUACCGGAUAAUAUUUCGAACCGCAUGGUUCGAUAGUGAAAGAUGGUUUUGCUAUCACUUAUAGAUGGACCCGCGCCGUAUUAGCUAGUUGGUAAGGUAACGGCUUACCAAGGCGACGAUACGUAGCCGACCUGAGAGGGUGAUCGGCCACACUGGAACUGAGACACGGUCCAGACUCCUACGGGAGGCAGCAGUAGGGAAUCUNNCGCAAUGGGCGAAAGCCUGACGGAGCAACGCCGCGUGAGUGAUGAAGGUCUUCGGAUCGUAAAACUCUGUUAUUAGGGAAGAACAUACGUGUAAGUAACUAUGCACGU